CGCACAUUGCGCCCCUUGGUAUUCCGAGGGGCAUGCCUAUUCGAGCGUCAUUAUCACCCCUCAAGCUUCAGCUUGGUGUUGAGGCCUGCUGUUAAGGCAGCCUCUAAAAUCAGUGGCAGUGCUGUCAGGCUCUAAGCGUAGUAAAAUUCAUCGCUAUAGACACCUGGUGGACACUCGCCAGAACCCCCAAUUUUUAAUGAUUGACCUCGGAUUAGGUAGGGAUACCCGCUGAACUUAA
rnacentral:misc_RNA from 1 species